GACGAACGCUGGCGGCGUGCCUAAUACAUGCAAGUUGAGCGCUGAAGGUUGGUACUUGUACCAACUGGAUGAGCAGCGAACGGGUGAGUAACGCGUGGGGAAUCUGCCUUUGAGCGGGGGACAACAUUUGGAAACGAAUGCUAAUACCGCAUAAAAACUUUAAACACAAGUUUUAAGUUUGAAAGAUGCAAUUGCAUCACUCAAAGAUGAUCCCGCGUUGUAUUAGCUAGUUGGUGAGGUAAAGGCUCACCAAGGCGAUGAUACAUAGCCGACCUGAGAGGGUGAUCGGCCACAUUGGGACUGAGACACGGCCCAAACUCCUACGGGAGGCAGCAGUAGGGAAUCUUCGGCAAUGGACGAAAGGCUGACCGAGCAACGCCGCGUGAGUGAAGAAGGUUUUCGGAUCGUAAAACUCGGUUGGUAGAGAAGAACGUUGGUGAGAGUGGAAAGCUCAUCAAGUGACGGUAACUACCCAGAAAGGGACGGCUAACUACGUG
rnacentral:rRNA from 1 species